UUUCCGUAGGUGAACCUGCGGAAGGAUCAUUACUGGGUUCCAAGGCGUCAAGCCUACCACCCGCCCUCUGUCAUUUGCAACGGUAUUGCUUCGGCCGCUGGUCCUGCGUGCGGGGCGCCACCUCUCUCACGGGAGGGGGUCGCCCGGCGGGGGGUCACGGUCGGUCUCUCAACUCUAUGUACUGAACGUGUGUGUCUGAUGCAAAAAAACAAAACGAAAAGCAAAACUUUCAACAACGGAUCUCUUGGUUCUGGCAUCGAUGAAGAACGCAGC
rnacentral:misc_RNA from 1 species